GGAGGGUGCAAGCAUUAAUCGGAAUUAUUGGGCGUAAAGGGCGCGUAGGCUGGAUCGUAAGUCAGAUGUGAAAUAACGGGGCUCAACCCCGUUGCUGCAUUUGAAACUGCGAACCUCGAGGAUAGACGGAGAAAACGGAAUUCCACAUGUAGCGGUGGAAUGCGUGGAUAUGUGGAAGAACACCCGUGGCGAAAGCGGUUUUCUAGUUUAUUCCUGACGCUGAGGCGCGAGAGCAAGGGGAGCAAACAGGGAUUAGAUACCCUGGUAGUCCUUGCCGUAAACGAUGUAUACUUGAUGUAGUUGGACUCAACCCCCCCGACUGUGUCGUAGCUAACGCGAUAAGUAUACCGCCUGAGGAGUACGCUCGCAAGGUG
rnacentral:rRNA from 1 species